rnacentral:ncRNA from 19 species
UAUCAAUACCGGAGAUAAAAUCUCGUCAGGUCGAUAGUUAGAUAAUGAUUUAUUUAAAUUAAGUGUAAUGUAAGUACACCAUACUAACUGGAAUAAAGCUGCAAUUAUGUAGCUUUUUUUCAUGGC